CUUCAGGUAUAAAACUACCCCUAACGGAGCUCACAGGUGGAAGCUGGGGAGGAGGGUGGGGCGACAAACGCAGCGCUCACGGAAAUGAAUGACUGAAGGCGUGGAGUGCACACCUGGUUCUUCAGUAGGACGUGGAACAGGUGAGUUAAUUGGGCUGAUCCGCCCGUGGGGAAGUUGUAAACAGGUAAACGCACUGCUGAGCUGCCUUGCCAAAAUUCUCCCAGGAUCGUUCAUUUUGUCAACAGGAAACAAAAAGAACAGAUGUUUCUGGGAUUUUGUGUUUGUUCCUUUAAUUCCUGUUUUCCAUUUGGUGCUGUUACUAACCUACAUGUUUGCCUUUCUCCACAUCUUCCUGUAAUUUGCAUUUGUGUCUUAUGGUGGAAAUGUGGUGUUAAGAAUACAACAAUCAAUGGUUGUGUUAUUUUAAAGAUUCAUAAAAAAUUUCAAUCAGAUAAUAGAUUUUAUUUAUAAUGCACCUUUCAUUAAAUGAAACCUCAUAGUGCUAGCACAAGAUGUGAAAAAUAAAAAAAUAUAAAAGAAAAAACUCAAUAAAAAUGUGCACAUUAUAAUACAAAGCCACGACAGAGUUUCAGGGCCAGUUUACAAACAAUUUAUUUUUCUUAAUUACGACUUUUAAAUCGUAAAUUUAUGAGAAAAAAAUCCUGUAAAUUUCCAAGUUUUUUUCUCUUACAUUUUUGAGUUUUUAUCUCUUAAAAUUGUCAUGGUGGCCUGUCAGACUCCUCCCCCUCCCAGCUCUGCUCCAGAUUCACAGCUGUGCCCACUCAUCUCUUCGCCUCACCUGCUUCUUAAGGAGACUCACCUCUAGCAUUCUUCGCCAGUUCGUUAACACUGAUGGUCUUACCUUCCACGAGUGUCACCAGAGUCCUCCAUCCUCUUGAGCAGAAGCUGCACGCCUGACGUCUCUCAAAAACUCCAGCCACGCCACAGCUAAGAUCCUCGGCGCUGCCAUCAUCGAGCCUAUCCUCCUUCCUGCUGACUGUCCACUCCUACACCUCCCUGAAGUUGGUUCCAGCGUUCCGGCUCACCCAAGUCCCUCCCUUGAACUCUGAAAAUCCUGAGCCUUGUUCAAGUCCGCUAUAUCAAGUCCCAUGACGCAUCUCACUACAAGAUCCGCUGGCUCCUACAAAAUAAAGCCACUUACUUACCUUUCA